AUUGAACGCUGGCGGCAUGCCUUACACAUGCAAGUCGAACGGUAACAGGUUAAGCUGACGAGUGGCGAACGGGUGAGUAAUGUAUCGGAACGUGCCCAGUCGUGGGGGAUAACGUAGCGAAAGCUACGCUAAUACCGCAUACGAUCUAUGGAUGAAAGCGGGGGAUCGCAAGACCUCGCGCGAUUGGAGUGGCCGAUAUCAGAUUAGGUAGUUGGUGGGGUAAAGGCCUACCAAGCCGACGAUCUGUAGCUGGUCUGAGAGGACGACCAGCCACACUGGGACUGAGACACGGCCCAGACUCCUACGGGAGGCAGCAGUGGGGAAUUUUGGUCAAUGGAUGCAAGUCUGAACCAGCCAUGCCGCGUGCAGGAAGAAGGGCCCUUUCUGGGUUGUAAACUGCUUUUGCCAGGGGAUAAAAUUUCCAUGCGUGGAAAACUGAAGGUACCUGGUGAAUAAGCCACGGCUAACUACGUGCCAGCAGCCGCGGUAA
rnacentral:rRNA from 1 species